rnacentral:lncRNA from 1 species
CGGCAGGGCCAAAAGGACAAGCGGCAAAAUGAAAUUAAGCAAAAACGAAGAGUUAUGCUUGGCAUGUCAGUUGCUGGGUGGAUGGCGGGGAGGAAGCCAUGAGAGCUAAAUCUAUUAGCUGGCAGAGCAGUCUCCUAUGGGAAACUCCCAGCGGGAAAAUGCUGGUAACUUGAGACACUGAAAGGGAACCUUGACAAAAAGUUCAGCAGUGGCACUGACUCCCUCGGGACGCUGUGGGCCCUCCUUCAUUGGAGUGUUUUAAGUAGAUGUUGGAUGGCUACCUGUUGGGGAUUCUUUGGCUGCAAUCCCUACAUAGAAUCAAUUCUGUGAUUCUAUGACCUUGGAAAGCGGUGGCCUCUCCUUCACUGGAGGUUUUUAAAGGGAGGUGAGAUAGCCAUCUGCCAGGGAUUCUUUAGCUGUGGUUCAUGCUUUGCAGGGGGUUGGACUAGAUGACCCUUCCAACUCUACAAGCGCUAUUAUUCGGAUCCCUGGCACUUUGCUGGGAGCCACCCAGAGGAGCCACUCCAUCCCAGGAGACAGUGGAUCAGAGGCUGGAAGGUGUAAUGGAGGUGAACGGGGUGCUUUGCAGGAGAGGCUGUUCAGAAGCAGGUAAGGACACUUUAGCCUUUGUGCCACUGAGAAGAAAGGACUGACCGACCAGCUGCUGAAAAGGCCUCAUUAUCAGGCUAUCUAGAAGCUUGCACAGGGACAAUGGGCUCUAUUUUUUAUUUUUUAUUUUUUUUAAAAUCUUUUUUUAAGAAAAGGGGAAGAGAAUAGCAGGGAGAGAGAACAGAAAGGGACAGGCUCCCCUGCCUGAGCAAACUAGGACCUUUCGCCUGCUUCUUGCCAGCUGCAGUCAUUACUAGUGGGCCACCUCCUACCCUUCCAAGCCUCUGCCCUGGCCAUGAAAGUGUCCCAUCUAUAGUUAAUGAUAGCAAAUAGGUUGCCGUUCUAAGAAGAAAAAGAAAUGGCAAUGAUUUUUUUUCUUAAUGCAACCAACCUCUCUUGCUUGUGCAUGGCAGAAAGAAAGAAAAGUGGAGGAGGAAGGGGGAAUUGAAGAGCAAAGAUCUGCCUGCCUGCGGGUAGGUUAGCCAGAGCUCCAGGUCUUUUUUCUUUUCGUCUUGUGAAUAAUUUUUAUUUCAUUCGAUAACGUAUAUAAAAAGCAGAGAGAACAGCUGUAGCAACAGAUGAAAAUUAAAAGAUGGAAUACAAAAACCAUAAAAUUGAAGAAUGAGUCCAGUUGCAUGGAGGCGGAAAAUAACAAAAGCCCAAGUAAAGAAUAUCAGCAUUAUUCUGAUUAUCAAGGAUAGUGUUCUGUCUCUGCCAGGAUUGUGAUGAGGGUCAUCUUGAAAAUGAUGGUUUCGCUGUACAUGUAACGAAGGAGUGCCAAAUCAUAUAAUAAUAAUAAUAAAUGCCUGGAGGUUCUAGUCCCUGUCAAAAUCUCAAAGGAUGCAUAAUUUUCUCCAUUAUAACCACAUUCCAGGGUGAGUGGUACCAAGAUUUUGGGCUGUUUUCCAUUACCACUCAGCUUGCGAGUAUUGUUUAUAAGAAUUUCAGGUCCUACCUGAAUUCUCCUGCUAGGGGGCUUGAAAAUACAGGUGGGUGAGAGGGCCCUUAACAAUUAAAAAAAAUAUAUUAAGAGGACUGGGCAUGCAGCUUGCAAGCUUCAGCUUGGCUUCAAAUUAUAGAACAGACCUUUGGGAGGGGACGGGGUUGCCCUCAUCCCCUCUCCCAAUCACAUGCACUGCCUUUCCCCUGUGAUUGAGGGCGCCAGGGCUAUGCAAUGUCAGCACACCCCAUGGCACGUUGAUGUCACUUGUGCAUGCUACAGAGCAUGCUGACAUGUCGUGUGGACGCCCUCUGGCUUGCACAUGUGAUGUUAGCACGCCCUGCGGCUGUGCACACAGCUGACACAGAACUUUGGGGGGGGGUCCAGCCCCUUCAUUGAAAAUAUUUGGGGAGCCCUGGCCCCCCAAUCUCUACUUGCCAUGCCUGCUCACAGUUAACCUCCAUCUCCAGGGGCCUCCCCCAUGACAUCACUUGGGUCCCCAUGCAUGACCACCAGAGAUUGUUCCUAGGUCUCAGGUUUGGGCCCUGGAAUCGUGGGGUCUGGGAUGCUGUUGACCUGGCAACCCUACCUGUGGGUGUUGCGGGGGGGGGGAGAGAGAAAGCUUGGAUCUGGGCAGUUUGGAAGAUGCCCCUCUUGCAAGGCAUGGGUAGGCAAACUAAGGCCCGGGGGCCCGAUCUGGCCAAAUCACCUCCUAAAUCUGGCCUAUGGGCAGUCCGGGAAUCAGCAUGUUUUUACAUUAGUAGAAUGUGUGCUUUUAUUUAAAAUGCAUCUCUGGGUUAUUUGUGGGGCAUAGGAAUUCGUUCAAUUUCCCCCCCAAAAAAUAUAGUCCGGCCUCCCACAAGGUCUGAGGGACAGUGGACUGGCCCCCUGCUGAAAAAGUUUGCUGACCCCUGCUGUAAGGGGAUAUUGCUUUGAGUAAUCCUCCACAUGGAGGAUUACUGUAAAACAGGGACAGGGUACAUCCAAUGUGGCCCUCUGGAUCUCUCUUUGACACUCUUAUUAUUCUCCCUAGACCACAUUCCCAAGUCCUUCACAGUAAUCGGUGCUGCUACAGACACAACGUAAUCCCAUACCCUCCAGCAUUUGUCUGAUGAAAAUAGGUACGUCCCAUUUCAUAAUGAUAAUUUUACUAUUUAUACCCCGCCAUCUGACUGGGUUGCCCCAGCCACUCCGGGCAGGCUUCCAACAUAUAUAAAAACAUAAUGAAACGUUAAACAUUAAAAAAAAAACCCUUCCCUAUACAGGAUUGUCUUUAGAUGGCUCAGGAGUCGGAUAACUCCAUACCGUCCAACAUUUCUCCAAUGAAAAUAGGGACAUCCUAAGGAAAAGUGGGACAUUAUGGGAUCAAAUCAGAAACUGGGACAGCUUCUCUAAAUCAGGGACGUCCCUGGAAAAUAGGGACAAUUGGACGGUCUGUAAUUCUCAUUCAGCAUUGUAAGGAAUUGAUCUUUUAAUGUGGCAGAACCCACAACUUUGAAACUCCCUGCCUAUUAACUCUGAGGAGUCCAUGAGCCAAUAAUUGAUGUCUGGAAGUAGAGAGGUCUCAUUGGAGAUCAGGGAAGGAGAUGCAAGUUCUGGGGCCUGCAGCUCCAAAUGGGAUGGGUCAGGCAGUGGAUCCAUCUGCUCCUCAGGGCUGUUGUUGUCAGAGGACUCUGCCUCUGAUGAUUCCUGGUAUGGGGACUACCACCCAAGUCCCUACAAUUAUCACCACUGUCUGUGAAAACCUUGCGAGAGAGUCCAGUGUUCAUCCUCCCUCCCAUGUUUCCUCCAUUGCAAUUGUUGGCAUAUGCAGUAAAAGUAAUUAGGAGUCCCAAUGCAAAUUAGAUUUGUUUUCUUUCUUUCUUUUUUUAAAAAGCAAUGACAACAGCCAAUGUCUGUUGCAAGAGAUUAAUUCCGUGGCUUAAUUGAAAGUGCAAGAGCAAAACAGAGGGGGGAGGGGGGAAGGAGGGGAAAUGAAAUCUCUGAGUGUGAAGGACCAGCUUCUUCCUAAACUUCAUUCAUCUUUCUUGAUUCCUAAAAGGGUUUCUGCAGCCACAGCUAAGUCAACCAAGACUAUAUCCCUCAGUUAAAGCAGGUAACCAUUUACUGUCAAUGUUGUGUCUGGUGACCGUGUUGCUUGGUUACUUAUGCCUGCUGUGUUGCUCCUAAGCCUUUUUGUUGAGGGUGUGACUUCUGUGCCGUAAGCGGUUACAAUUAAUUGAGCAAAGAAGGUGGGGCAAAUGGAAACACUAGGAAUCCCCAAACUGGGUAUUGAGGGGGCAGACAGGAAAUACCUGCCCCACCCUCCAAUGCACACACCUGGGUUUUCUGAACACCCCCCCCCCCGCAGCGGCCAGCCUAGUGGGGAACAUAAGAUUGUGAGAAAAGCCUGUCUGCUGGAUCCUGUGGCUUACAACAACUAGUAUUGCUGCCUCCAACUGUGGUGGCAGAGCAAAGCCACCAUGGCUAGUAGACAUUAAUAGCCCUCUCAUCCACGAUUUUUUCUAAUCCUCUUUUAAAGCUAUCUAAGUUGGUAGCUGUCACUGCCUCCUGCAGGAGUGAGUUCCAUGCGGUUUAACGAUGCACUGUAAGCUGUACACUCUUUUAUCUGUCCUGAAUCUUCCAGCAUUCACCUUCACAGGAUGUUCAUGUGUUAUGCGGGAUGUCCAUUAGUGUUAGGGAGAAAAAACUUUCCUCUGUCCACUUUCUCCAUGCCGUGCAUAAUUUUACAAACUUCUUUCAUGUCGUCGUUUGCUUGUCUUUUCUCUAAGCUGUCUUUUAUUCAUCCUGGAUCUUGCAACAGGGGAUGUUCACGAGUUCUAGUCCUAUGAGAGAAAGAGAAAAACAUAUCUCUAUCUGUUCUCUCCAUAGCAUGUAAGACCCUUUCCUAAAAUGCCUCUGCAUGUUUUUAAAGAAGGCCUGAAGUCUCUGUUGCGCAGUGCUUGGGGAUAGAAUGGGGGGAUGGACGGACAAAAAACCACCCUGCAAAUCAACCAGAGAGAAACUGACCUCCACUAGCCAGUUGCAAUAAAUAGCACCUUAAAAGGGUCCAUCAGUAUUGUUGUGCACACCAUAUAUCAUAUAAAUCAAUGAUGGGCCUUCAGUCCUCAUAAAGGGAACGCUGUCCACUUGUCACUGCCCCACUUCAUUACUGAGCUGACGGUACAACAGUUUUCCUGUGUCCUUCUCCAGAACGCUUGCAGUGUCUCCUUGAAUCUUGCCGAGAGGAUGUCAAAAUCCCUUAAGCAGCUCUGUUCCAUUUUGUCUCCCUUAUAGGAAGAACCUCUGCAGGAGGCUUAUUUUUAAACCCUCCAAUCUUUUAGACAAACAUUUAGGCAGUUGGUGCAGUACAUCAAGGGAAGAAAAGAUGCGGCCGUCUAAUGAGUCACACCACAGGUCCAUCUGAGCUCCGUAUUGACUACAAUGACUGGCCAAGGCUCUCCAGGGUUUUCAGGUGGAGAUCUUUUCCAACCCUGCCUGGAGAUGCCAUUGCAUCUGGGAUCUUCUGCAUGCAAAACAGAUCCUCUGCCCAUGAGCUAAGGUCCUUCCCCUCAAAACAAAGUAAGCUUCUAGUCCUCAGUUUUUAAAAUAAAGGGUAGAAUGAUAUAGGGAGCUGGCUUAUGUCAAGUUAGACAAUUGGUCUAUAUUGUUCUGCAUUGUCUCUACUGGCUGGCAGUCAUUUUCCUGGAUUUCAUAUAAGGAGUCUCCCCCCCAACUCUACCUGAAGAUGCUGGAGUGGGGGGCAGGAAUCAAACCUGGUGCUCUACCUUUGCCCCCAGAUCUAGUAGUAAUAUAGUUUUGAAGGC